CGGGAAGAGCUCAAAUUUAUAAUCUGGCGCUUUCAGCGUCCGAGUUGUAAUCUCUAGAAGUGUUUUCCGCGUUGGACCGCACACAAGUCUGUUGGAAUACAGCGGCACAGUGGUGAGACCCCCGUAUACGGUGCGGAUGCCCAAUGCUUUGUGAUACACUUUCGAAGAGUCGAGUUGUUUGGGAAUGCAGCUCAAAUUGGGUGGUAAAUUCCAUCUAAAGCUAAAUAUUGGCGAGAGACCGAUAGCGAACAAGUACCGUGAGGGAAAGAUGAAAAGCACUUUGGAAAGAGAGUUAACAGUACGUGAAAUUGUUGGAAGGGAAACGCUUGAAGUCAGACUUGCUAUUCGGGUUUACUCGAGUUGCAGGCCAGCAUCAGUUUUCCGGGGUGGAAAAUCACGGUUUGAAGGUAGCAACUUCGGUUGUGUUAUAGCUUUCCGUUGGAUACAUCCUGGGGGACUGAGGAUCGCAGUGUGCUUUUAGCAGGAGUUUCGGCUCCAUCACACUUAGGAUGCUGGUGUAAUGGCUUUAAACGACCCGUCUUGAAA
rnacentral:sRNA from 1 species